rnacentral:lncRNA from 1 species
CUGGCUUUCGAUAGCUAAACGACGAGGCGCUCCCCUUUCUUUAGAGUUAUAGGUUAUCCAAAUGGCUUUUCUUUUUCUCAUAGGUUGAAGCUUACACUUCGGCUGUCGGCAUUGCAUUCCCUUCGGAGAGAUUUUGUGAAGCAGAGAGUUCUCACUGUGCAAGUUGGAUUACUUUACCGAACCUCGCCCUCCUUUCUUUAGACUCGGUCAAGGCAAGGAGUGGUUGGCUGCUCUAUUGAUAGGAAGGGCACUUAUUAAUAUGGAUUAGUGGUAGUAGAUUGAUUGCCUUUUCUAAUAGUAUGAGGCUCUGUAUCCGUGCUGAACUCUUAAGGAAAGAAAGGGUUUAGUUACUUUAUAUGUAAAAGCCUAUUCGCGUAAUGCGUGAGAAGUCUGGCUAGAGUAAGAUAGCAUAUAAGAAAGAGAUGACAAAAACCAAAUAAAGGCAUACGCAAGGGACCUAUGUCAUUAUCAAAUAGCAGAGUAUAGGGCUUCUUACUAAAGACAAAUUUACAUAGAGAGCAUAUGAUUCCAGGCGACGUAUCUUCGCUUUCAUCUUUAUUAUAACACACUUGCAUCACUCCUUAUAAUAUACCACCCAUCUAAAUUACUCUCAUAGGAUGGAAAGAUUCCUACUGCUGCUCACUUCCUUUAUACAGCUGAGUGCUUCCUUUCUUUCUAUUGCUGCUUACUUCCUCUCUAUUCUAUUGCUGCUUACUUCCUCUCUAUUCUAUUGCUGCUUACUUCCUCUCUAUUCUAUUGCUGAGUGCUUCCUUUCUAUUGCUGAGUGCUUAUUCUUUCUCAUUUUAGAACAUCUAAGCUAUUACUAAAGGCUCUGGCUCUGGUUCUGGCUCUGCUCUAUCUGCUUACAGCCAUUUGUUCUUCUUGUUCUUUCGCCGGUAAACUCACUAAUGCUAUUGUUGCUCACUCCUGUAAGCUAACGCACUAUGGUUUCUGGAACUCUACUGAAGUCAAGAAAGAAGCCCCGCUCCCUGCCGGUUCCCUUGCUUGGUAUCUACUGAAGGAAUAUGCUUAGCGCUUCUGGUCGUCAAUGUGCCGCGUACGCUCGUAGCUCAAAGUAGUUUAAAUACGGUUCGGUUGGUUGAAAGAUGGCUGUAGUGAGUAAAGCGAGUGAAGUCAAGUAUAGAGCAGCCGGGCCCCGGGCAUUAACCACAAGAAAGGGUGCCUCAAGCUUCAUUCAAAAAAGGCAACAAGCAGCAAGGGAAUUAGUAGAAUAAGUGAUUUACAAUGCCAAUGCUUCUCUCUGAGUAAGCAGUGUUAGGGGUUCGUUCCUUUCUUUUUCUUAUAUUAUAUCAUGUGCAGCAAGCAAACUCCACUUCUAUUUAAGCUCGCAAGAGGAAGCAAGCAGUCUUUUGUCACUAAAUUCUAUUUCGGUAGCAUUCAAUUCUGCUAUUCAAAAGGGAGUGUAAGUAAACAAAAAAGGAAGAUAAAUUGAGUGUGUGCCUCUGAUAGAAGAAAUAGAAUUGAUUAAAAAACCAGAAGGAAAACUCAGAUAUAUUACUUGUCUUUAAGAACUCAUAUCUAAGCAUGCCCAUCAUACUUAUAUUACUUGUCUUUAAGAACUCAUAUCUAAGCAUACCCAUCAUUUCGAAUAUCGGCACUACCAUGUGUUAAGCAAUGAGAGUUUAGAUGGAAGUGAAGACUUAAGGAGUUGAUAUACCCUUUCUAGCAAGGCCCUAUACUAACUACUUGGAAAGAGGCAAGGCAAAGAGGCGGGGACACCGGUACCGUGUUAUCUAAGUUGAUACUUGUUCCCGCUGGCGAAUGCACCUAUUGUAUAGACUUAUUUACGAACAUCUGACUUCUUUCCAUUAUUGAUUGCGGAUUGCUUACUCCUGGUAUGAGAGCUCGAAUGGGGAUUACUUUAUUAUAGGAGCACAAUGAAAUAACUGCCUAUUACUGGUUUUUUUGUUCCGUGUUGCUGGGAACUCUUUCACUUGUUUGCUUUAAGUAGGAAUUGAGUCUGCCUUUCUUCUCCAUACGAUACUUCUAAAGCUACAACAGUUGGGCGGGGGCUUAGUAAACCAUUCAUGAAAUAAUUAUGUGGUGCACACACAUAUGAUAGAAAUGAUCAACCUCACUGCAAAACAACAAUUGAUAGAAAAAUGGAACUCAACUGCGAAACUCCAACUCCAAUAAGUGUUAGCACAACCGCUUGUUGAAAAGAGGCACCCCGACCCGAGUCGCUUGUUGAAUGGAGGAAAAGAAUGUGCACUACUCUACUAUAAGGACUACUAAUAGAAAUAGGCUCUUAGCACCUUGCUUUCGAUCUACUCGAGUAGCUUGGCUAGUUUGUGUCUUGCGCAACGACUAAUGCUAUAGUAACUUGCGUUAGCAUAAUGUGUUUUCGCCAGAGCUUGUUCAUCCUUUUGAUUCUUCCGUUGCAUGUUUCUCCACUUCUUUGACCCUUGCUGAGGAAGGCUUCUUUCUCGUUGUUUAACCCGUGUCCUGUACCUCGGGGGUCUAUUGCUAAUAAGUCUAUUAACCUGUACCUCAGGGGGUCUAUUGCUAAUGAGUCUCGGGGGUCUAUUGCUAAUAAGUCUCGGGGGUCUAUUGCUAAUAAGUCUAUUAAUGGGGCUUUAUUCCGUGUGGGUUUCGUAAGGUUAAGGGCUAAUGUUAAUCUCCGAUAGAAUAAGAAUGCUUUGGAAGGGUAAAGUGGAAAGGAAUGGCUGAAUUGGAUCUAGCGUUGAUACAUUAUAUAGAACUCAGUCAUUUUCGAAGUGUUUUUCAUAUAUAAUAGAAUUCUUCAAUGAAAAGAACUCCCCAUUAGAGGAGCCAGCCUCAGUCAGUCCCAUCACUCCGGAUUGCUUACUGCUGGCACAAACUCACGUUUACCCCCCGAAAACUCCAAAUCAUGGAAAUGACUUGAAUAGCUUUACUUGGAGAAUUCCCUCUCUUGCGCGCUUACUUUCAUAAUUCCUUCUGAAGCAGACAGCCCAGCAGUUCGAUAAUGGUAGUGACAAAAUCACUAUUCUUCUAUUCCUUCUUAAGCCCCCUAACACGCUAUAUUAGUAAUAGCUUUUUCGGUAUCUUCUAGUUUUAGGAGAGUAUCCAUUGGUGCCCCGAGUGUUGUAGGAUUAUGAAUUAGCAUAGUUUCACAGAGUCAUAUAAUAUAGACGCAAAAGACAACUAUAAGAGUGCUUACGCUUACUUUCGCAGUUGCUGCAGCUUGUUCCGUUGCGAGACGUUAAUCUUUUUAGAAAUCAAUUCUUAACAAGAAGGGCGCCAAGGCCGCUUUUUGCCCAAGCAUCCUUCAAAUGGAGUGCAUCAUCCAUUAUAGAAAUAUGGUAAACAACCACUAUAAUAAGAAUAAAGUAACCAAACUCUAAACUCCUCGCUCUUGCUUUAAUUAAUACUUUAGUGCAAAAUCAUAUUUGAGAGCGUUCCUGCUCCUGCUCUACCUAACAAAACAGUGCUAGCCCCACUUAAUAUGCAUGACAACUGAUCUAAGGGCGGAACCUAACUGCUUGUUAGCUUGUUUUUGCGCGGUUGCUUUCUCUUAUUUAACAGGCUCCUUACUCUAAGGAAGAGAAUUGAGCAUUACACUUAAUAUAGAAUAGAGAAAUAGUAACUCAACUGAUUGACUUCUUGCCUUGACUUUGAUUAUUGGCUUCUGAAGCGGUUAAGUAGAAAAGAAGCUAGAAAGCUAGUAAGUCUACUACCCUUGCCCGAGCUCACUAACGCACAAACAGAACAAAGCUUGUUCCCCGCACAACACCCAAUUGCUUCCUUUAAGAACUCAUAUCGGCAUAGAAAGAGCGAGCAACAACA